rnacentral:lncRNA from 1 species
UUCUAGUCCAAAGUAAGGACAAUUUUUCCCAAGUGAUUGAGUGGAGCAGCAAAUGCCUGUGAAAAUAGUAGAUAUAAAAAUAUCAGCAAGAGCCAAAAUUACAAGACUGUUUCUGAAAAUAUUCCGAAAGAAUGUUUAGAAAACAUCUUUUUCCAGGUAGACAGAGAGUUUGUGAGGCUGCAUCAUUGGCAUCAUUUUAUCAUCACCAUCCCGCUCAGGAGCUCAAGAAGAGGGGAACUGAGUCAGUUAGAAUUACAGAGAAAAAAACAUAGUAUAUAUAAGGUUCUGGAGCUGAAAAAUACAAUGAACAAAGUGAAAAGUGAAACAGAGACUAUCAGCAGCAGAAUUAGUCAAGCAAAAGAAAGAAUCUGCAAAAUUGAAGAUGAGUUAUUUGAAAAUAUACAGUGAGAAGAGGAAAAAGAAAACCAUUUUUAAAAAUGAAGAAAGCUUACAGGAAUUAUGAGACAGCAUCAACAGACCAAAAGUUUGAGUCACUGGCAUUUUGGAAAUCUGCAGCUUCAGGGUGAUAAUAAUUUCAGUUGGAGCCUCACUGGUAACCUUGCUCAGCCACACGACUGGAAUGUAAGAGGCUGGGGCAUUUUGGACAGCACAGAUGUUAAACGUGAACACUACCUUCUCAGUAGCACAAAUCUGACUACAUCUUUAAGUCUCCAAGAGGAACAUGAGGACAUGAGCAAUAGAGGAAACCUGGAGGAAGAGGGUGUGGCAUGUUGAAAUUUAAAAAGAAGCAAUGUGUAUUUGCAAGUCAAACCAAUAUAAUAAAACCAGUGGUUAUUUUUUAAUGUUUUCAAUCAUUGGAAUAUACAUGAAUUUUCACAAUAAAGUGUGCUAAAGUAUUCAUA